rnacentral:lncRNA from 1 species
GUCUUCGCAGACAAUGUACCCAAAUAAGUUGUACAAGGUUGCUGCAGUGAGCCUUGUAAACGCCUACCCACAGCUAAGAGAUAGCUCAGACUCUGGCCACAUCUCCUGGUACAUGUGCCUUAGAAAUAAGUACAAGAACAUGCGCAAGCGAAUGCCUCCAGGAUGCCCGGAAGUAGAUGCUCAAAAAGAGAAAUUCAAAGCAAGGAAGUUGGGCAAAAGCUCUGUCGCUUCCU